AUAUCAAAUUACCUGUCCACGAGCCAGACCGUCCUGGACCAGCUGAGCUUGGCUCUCCGCGGGGAGUUCCGCCUCAUCCUGACCCGCAAGUGAGUUCAGAUCAUGAAAGCAAAUAUCUUUUUUCAGUAAUCAGUAAUCCAGCAAAUAGCAAUAUUUGAUCACACUAAACCCCAUCAAUAUUAGAUCAAAAAUAUUUAUAACAUUUUGCCCAUAGAAAACUCUUUGUCCAGCCAAACUAAAUAAUUUGAUACAAUCAUACCUGUCCACAAAGGUAUGCGUGUGACAUCCUUGUCAUCCGGAUGCUACGGGAGAGGACCCUCGGCAACAGCUCCACACGCCUGGCCAAACAGCUGCGGGAGAACCACGGCGAGGAGUGGCUGCAGCGGUUGGCCCGCUACAUGGAGCUGGCCAAUGACUUUGCCCGCAGGCCCGGUCUCUUCCCUGUGGUCUGUCAGAGCCCCCCCGAGCCUAUCGCUGUCCCGACCAACAGGUGGCUCCUGACUGUGUACGGGAAGGACUUGAUGAGCCGUAUGGGUCACAUCAAGGCCAGCAUCACCUCCACCUUUGGCUCCAUUUUAAAAAUGGAUUCUACAAAGAAGAUGACCAAAAAGCUGGCUGGAGCCGCCAAGGGGACGGCGCUCUGGGUGUCCUCCGUCAGCAACGAGAAGGGGCAGGUCCUGAUCAGCGUCCUGACAGCCCAGGAGGGACCUGGACUGGACCGGAUGGUGUCAGGCCUCAUCAGGCGCUACAGCGAGGCGGGCGUGGCUCCCCCUAUACUCCUCUACGUGGACUGUGGCUGCUGCAAGGAGACGGGAGGGGAGAGCAAGCUGCAGGCCAGGUUCAGCGGCUGGCCAGACCUCGUCAUCCGGCUGGACAUCUGGCACUUCCUUCGGCGGCUUGCGGCCGGAUGCACGACCGACGCCCACGCCCUGUACCCCAUCUUCAUGGCCACGCUCUCCGUCUGCCUGUUUGAGUGGGACCCUGAAGAUGUGGCCCUUCUGCGCCACGCCAAGAGGGAGGAGCUCCGGAGGGAGUGUGUGCCCGGCAUCUCCGAGGCUCUGGUGGACAGCCGGUUGACCAAGGCCCAGUUGGCGCUGUACUGCAGGCGGAGGACCCGUGGAGAGGAGGCCACCAUCCGCCAGGUGGAGGCCCUGCUGCAGGAGCUGAUGGGGGACAAAGGCAGGGACCUGCUGGGUGUUCCCCUCCUGGACCGGGUGAGGAUGGAGCACAUCUGGCGGGUUCAGAAGAGGCACGUCAAGUGCAUCCAGGACCUGCCAGGUGUGCCUCUGUACACAAAGACCGGCACCACCACCACCAAGGACGGCGUCGUCCUCACCAAAUACAGGUGUGCGUGAGGUUCAACGUCCCUGGAGUCCUUCCACUGCCACCUGAACCGCUUUAUUCCAGGGACCCAGGCCAAUGACCUGAACUUCCAGCUCUACCUGCUGGACGGGCUGAACCGCUGGAACCAGGACCGGGCUGCUGCUGCUGUGGCUGAGAAGAUGUCCGCUCUCCUCAGCUACUCGGGGGAUCUGGUACA